rnacentral:lncRNA from 10 species
CAGUUUCGGUUUCAUUUCUGCUCGCUGGUUUCCAGAAAGGAAAAGUCAAAUUGCAUGACUUCAGACUUCAGAAUCCAGGGGGCGGGGAAGGGGGCAGGGAAGAAGGGGGCGGUGCCACGACGAGGGGGCAGUGUUACUCACAUACACCGCUAGCACCUCCCCCAGCCUGGACCCGGUUCUGCUGGGCCGGGGAGGCGGGUGGUCGCGGAACGGCGGAGCAUCCCACAACCUGCCCAUCCUCCCGGCUGCAUUUCCUGCAAGUCCGUCCGCCUGCCCGCGCCCGCGCCCGCGCCCCCGCCCCCACCCUUGCCCGCUUUGUCCUGCCUGGGCGCGAGUAAAGGGACUGGUUUCCUUUGCCUCGUUUCGUUUCCUCUUCUGUGCGUGUGGUAUAGACCCGUGCUUCUCAAAGGGUGGUUCCUGGAACAGCAGCAUUGGCUUCACCUGGGAAAUUAUUAGAAAUGAACGGUCCGGGGCCAUCCCAAGACCCCUGCAUUACCACCUGUAUUUUAAGGGCCUUCCUCAGGUGAUCCCUUGGCAACUGGGCACGAGACUGCUGGCGUCUGACGUGGUCGCUUUUGGUCCUCAAGGUCAAGGCCAGACUUUUCCUUCAUCUCUGUCUGGGGCCCACCAGAGAGCCCUGCGGAGAGGAGCAGAAGCUGAAAUCCUUUGAUACUGCAAAUGAAGAAAGAAAUUCACGUAAUCUUUCUCGUCUGUACCCCUGAACAAAGCUGAAUGUUUUUGAGGCACUCUUUCCAUCUCAAACUUGGGUUUUAAAACAAAUCAGCAAUGAUAUUUAUUCUAUUGCCUUUUUAUUAAGGAAUCUAUAUGUUCAUCAUUUGAAACAUACAGGAAAACAUGAAGAAGAAAAG